UUAGGUGCCUAUAUCGGUGGUGUCCACCUCUUCCCAUUCCGAACAGAGAAGUUAAGCCCACCAGAGCCGAUGGUACUGCGGUAACACGUGGGAGAGUAGGUCGGUGCCAAAU
rfam:Pedobacter sp. AJM contig17, whole genome shotgun sequence.